UUUCUAACAAUGCACUCGUCACUUUUAACACUGCUGAAUUAAAGCUUGAAAAAGACAAAUCAGUUCAAACUUGACACGUUUCAAUGAUUCGUUGAUAUACCUUGAGGAGGUUGUCAUUGCUGUGCAGCCAGUAACUCCCUUUAUACAUCUGACUGUAAACUCUACCCAUAGAAAACUGAACUGUAACUUUCUCAGUGAGGUGGAGAAGUCCACUAAUUAUGUUAUUUAUACUCGACCUGCAGGUUGGGACUUAUUAGGUGAGUCGACAUGAAUAUUUCAUCUUUCACCUACAGAACUAGUCACCGCAGAGGUCGCUCACUUUCCUUUUCACACUGACAGGUGAAAGAGAAAAAGUCCAGACGGUGUGCAUCGGGAAGGAAUUUAGUCUGCCAGUGGACUCCACAUCGAGGAUUGUGACUUUCACGCCAAGCCCCGAUGGGCCGAGACGUGUCCUGCUGGAUAAGACCACUGUGAAGGAUCCACGGUUCAAGUGGACCAGAGAUAAAUCGUUGGUCCU